ACCCGUCUUAAACACGGACCAAGGAGUCUAACAUGUGUGCGAGUUUUUGGGUGGCAAACCCAUGAGCGUAAUGAAAGUGAAUGCAGGUGGGAUCCGCAAGGAGCACCAUCGACCGGCCCUGAUGUUCUCGGAUGGGUCUGCGUAAGAGCAUAUAUGUUGGGACCCGAAAGAUGGUGAACUAUGCCUGAAUAGGGCGAAGCCAGAGGAAACUCUGGUGGAGGCUCGCA
rnacentral:rRNA from 1 species